GAUGAACGCUGGCGGCGUGCUUAACACAUGCAAGUCGAACGGGAAACCUUUUAAUGAAGCUUCGGCAGAUUUAGCUGGUUUCUAGUGGCGGACGGGUGAGUAACGCGUGGGUAACCUGCCCUAUACAGGGGGAUACCAACCAGAAAUGGUUGCUAAUACCGCAUAAGCGCACAGGACCGCAUGGUCCGGUGUGAAAAACUCCGGUGGUAUAGGAUGGACCCGCGUUGGAUUAGCCAGUUGGCAGGGUAACGGCCUACCAAAGCGACGAUCCAGAGCCGGCCUGAGAGGGUGAACGGCCACAUUGGGACUGAGACACGGCCCAGACUCAUACGGGAGGCAGCAGUGGGGAAUAUUGCACAAUGGGGGAAACCCUGAUGCAGCGACGCCGCGUGAAGGAAGAAGUAUCUCGGUAUGUAAACUUCUAUCAGCAGGGAAGAUAGUGACGGUACCUGACUAAGAAGCCCCGGCUAACUACGUGCCAGCAGCCGCCGUAA
rnacentral:rRNA from 1 species